UACAGAGGGGGCAAGCGUUGUUCGGAAUUACUGGGCGUAAAGGGCGCGUAGGCGGCCCUCUAAGUCGAACGUGAAAUCCCUGGGCUCAACCCAGGAACUGCGUCCGAGACUGGAGGGCUCGAAUCCGGGAGAGGGAUGUGGAAUUCCAGGUGUAGCGGUGAAAUGCGUAGAUAUCUGGAGGAACAUCGGUGGCGAAGGCGGCAUCCUGGACCGGUAUUGACGCUGAGGCGCGAAAGCCAGGGGAGCAAACGGG
rnacentral:rRNA from 1 species